rnacentral:ncRNA from 1 species
AUAGAUGCGUAGAAUGGGAAGAGUAAAUUCUGAACCUUUCAGAGAGAGAAAUCAUUAGCUGUGAGAUUUCUUAAGAUGUAGGAAUUGAAUGUCGCCCAGGAGCAGCCCCGCUGAACGAUUAGUAAGCGUGGUCGGUUAGAUGCCGUUAUCAAAUGAAGUGUGCAGCCGCACUGCUUACUAUUGAAGUAGGUUAAAUGGCAGCUGCAAACAAAGGUGGUACCGCGAAUACAAACUCUCUUCGUCCUUUGG